UACAGAGGUCCCAAGCGUUGUUCGGAUUCAUUGGGCGUAAAGGGUGCGUAGGUGGUGGCGCAAGUCUGGUGUGAAAUCUCGGAGCUUAACUCCGAAAUGGCACCGGAUACUGCGUUACUCGAGGACUGUAGAGGAGAUCGGAAUUCACGGUGUAGCAGUGAAAUGCGUAGAUAUCGUGAGGAAGACCAGUUGCGAAGGCGGAUUUCUGGGCAGUUCCUGACACUGAGGCACGAAGGCCAGGGGAGCAAACGGG
rnacentral:rRNA from 1 species